AGGCAGCAGUGGGGAAUAUUGCACAAUGGGGGAAACCCUGAUGCAGCCAUGCCGCGUGUGUGAAGAAGGCCUUCGGGUUGUAAAGCACUUUCAGUAGGGAGGAAGGUAGUGUAGUUAACACCUGCAUUAUUUGACGUUACCUACAGAAGAAGCACCGGCUAACUCCGUGCCAGCAGCCGCGGUAAUACGGAGGGUGCGAGCGUUAAUCGGAAUUACUGGGCGUAAAGCGCAUGCAGGCGGCCUGUUAAGUCAGAUGUGAAAGCCCGGGGCUUAACCUCGGAAUUGCAUUUGAAACUGGCAGGCUAGAGUCUUGUAGAGGGGGUAGAAUUUCAGGUGUAGCGGUGAAAUGCGUAGAGAUCUGAAGGAAUACCAGUGGCGAAGGCGGCCCCCUGGACAAAGACUGACGCUCAGAUGCGAAAGCGUGGGGAGCAAACAGGAUUAGAUACCCUGGUAG
rnacentral:rRNA from 1 species